GACGAACGCUGGCGGCGUGCCUAAUACAUGCAAGUCGAACGGUCUUUUCUAUGGAAGCUUGCUUCCACUGAGAAGAUAGUGGCGAACGGGUGAGUAACACGUGGGUAACCUGCCCAUAAGAGGGGGAUAACAUCCGGAAACGGGUGCUAAUACCGCAUAGUUUUCUUGAUCGCAUGAUCGAGAAAGGAAAGACGGCCUUUGUGCUGUCGCUUAUGGAUGGACCCGCGGCGUAUUAGUUAGUUGGUGAGGUAACGGCUCACCAAGACGAUGAUACGUAGCCGACCUGAGAGGGUGAACGGCCACAUUGGGACUGAGACACGGCCCAAACUCCUACGGGAGGCAGCAGUAGGGAAUCUUCCGCAAUGGACGAAAGUCUGACGGAGCAACGCCGCGUGAGUGAAGAAGGUUUUCGGAUCGUAAAACUCUGUUGUCAGAGAAGAACAAGUCGGAGAGUAACUGCUCCGGCCUUGACGGUAUCUGACCAGAAAGCCACGGCUAACUACUUGCCAGCAGCCGCAGUAAAAC
rnacentral:rRNA from 1 species